CAAAGGUUUCCCCUAGUACGGCGAGUGAAGCGGGAAGAGCUCAAAUUUGAAAUCUAGUAGCCUUCGGCUGCUCGAGUUGUAAUCUAGAGAAGUGUUUUCCGUGCCGGCCCAUGUACAAGUCCCUUGGAACAGGGCGUCAUAGAGGGUGAGAAUCCCGUCCUUGACAUGGACCCCCGGUGCUCUGUGAUACACUUUCAACGAGUCGAGUUGUUUGGGAAUGCAGCUCAAAAUGGGUGGUGAAUUCCAUCUAAAGCUAAAUAUUGGCGAGAGACCGAUAGCGAACAAGUACCGUGAGGGAAAGAUGAAAAGCACUUUGGAAAGAGAGUUAAACAGUACGUGAAAUUGUUGAAAGGGAAACGAUUGAAGUCAGUCAUGCUCUUUGGUAUUUAUAUCAUUGAGUGGGGUCAACAUCAGUUUUGAGCGAUGGAUAAAGGCACUAGGAAGGUAGCACUCUCGGGUGAACUUAUAGCCUAGCGUCAUAUACAUUGUUUGGGACUGAGGAACGCAGCAUGCCUUUAUGGCCGGGAUUCGUCCACGUACAUGCUUAGGAUGUUGACAUAAUGGCUUUAAACGACCCGCUUAAAAACGGGGACCAAAGGGGCCCUUUUCCUCCGGUUUUUUUUUU
rnacentral:rRNA from 1 species